rnacentral:rRNA from 1 species
AGCAGUCGCCGCGGUAAUACCGAGGGUGCAAGCGUUAAUCGGAAUUACUGGGCGUAAAGCGCGCGUAGGUGGUUUGUUAAGUUGGAUGUGAAAGCCCCGGGCUCAACCUGGGAACUGCAUCCAAAACUGGCAAGCUAGAGUACGGUAGAGGGUGGUGGAAUUUCCUGUGUAGCGGUGAAAUGCGUAGAUAUAGGAAGGAACACCAGUGGCGAAGGCGACCACCUGGACUGAUACUGACACUGAGGUGCGAAAGCGUGGGGAGCAAACAGGAUUAGAUACCCCCGUAGUCCCGUCUCUUAUACC